rnacentral:lncRNA from 7 species
AUAGACAACAUCCAGGGGAAAGAAUAUGCUCUUUUAAAUAGAUUCUCCAGUUUGGAACUUCAAGUGAUCUAGAAAGUCAUUGAAAAGACUUUGUGCUGCGCCCCUCAGAAUGAGAUGUUUCCUCUUUUCAUAUCUGUAAUGAUUCAGACCUUCCCCUUUGAAGGCAUGUCCCACUGGCUCUGAUUUUCCUUCAGUAGACAUUAAGGGCAGGAUCCAAUUAAGGAAGCUAAAGGAGUGGAGAGCUUUUUUUGCCGGAGGAAACUGUCUUUGAUGAAGUUUGUAUGGACAGUGACUAAAGCUGCAUCUUGCUCCUGAAAUAAAGACAUCUGUCUGGACAAUAAUCCAAGGAUUGAGGAAAGCCAUUGAUGCUCACCACCACUGUGGAACAUCAUAGCAUCUGCAGACUAUAGCUGGUACUCAUCAGAAGGAAAAAAAGAAGGAAGGACACAAAUUGUCUAAUAAGUUUACUACUAUGUGCAGGAGAACCAGUGCAACACAAAAAAAAACAGGUAUUUAUAGACAUUGAUCAGAUCCCCCUCUGAGCCUUCUCAUAUCUAGGAUGUUCAGUUCUGGCGCUCUCAACCUCUCCUCACAGAAGAGCUACACCAGACCCUUCAUUUUACUUGCUCUUUGCUGGAGUCUCAGUACCUCCAGGCCUCCUGGGGAGCCCAGUGUUUAACAGAGAAGGAUGACCACUCAUGCUGCUGGCAACCCUUGGCCUAAUACAGCUAAGAAUGCCAUUAACUUUUUUUUCUUUCAGCCAUGAAUAUUGUUAUGCAUAUAAACUAUUUUUGAAAGAGUCUUUUUGGAAAAUGUCUUCAUGCUUCAGGACACAGGUCAAACUCUUAACAAAUGAGACUUAUAAACUUUUCUCCUCUACCAGUUAUGCUAGAUGACUUUAUUUCUGGGUUUUUGCACUUUAUGCUUUUCUGAUGUGGUGCUUCCAGUCCGUUUGUCAUUAGAACACCGUUAACUAUUCUGAUGGCCACAGUACAUCUUUGUGAUGAAAGAAAUGUCUAUAGAGGUUUAUCUGAGUUUCUGAAUAUCUGACAAGACUAGGGAUCAAUAUGAAUUUGUUAUCUUACUAUGAAGACCUCAAAACUGUGUGAAUGGGAAAGCCAUAGUACGAUGACUGAAUGCCAUUUACAAUAUUCUAUUUUCUAGUCUUUUUCUCUGGACAGAAACAAAACAAAAUCAAACCUAAUCAAAACCUAACGUAGUGAACUAGAAGCAAUCACUUGUCCACUGCAUGCAGCACACUAGCUAAAGAAAGCAAAUCAUGAUCUCUAAAUUAGUGUUGACCUAUGCCAGUUGGUCUAGAGUACACAGUGAAAGGGCACAAACAAAUAGCAGAUGUGAUGUGGAAGCAGGAAAAUUGUUGCUGUAUGAGCUCCAGUGUGGCACCAUGUGGUCACGGGAAUGUUGCUUUUGAACCAUCAUCAUUCCUUUAGGGCUAACAUAUAGUGAACAAUUUUGAUAUGUCUUUCAGCCACAGUGUAUGCUAUAAGAAAUAAAAAUGAUAUGUGGGGAGCAGUGAACCC